rnacentral:rRNA from 1 species
UACGGAGGGUGCAAACGUUGCUCGGAAUCAUUGGGCGUAAAGCGCACGUAGGCGGCCAACUAAGUCGGAUGUGAAAUCCCCAGGCUUAACCUGGGAACUGCAUCCGAUACUGGAUGGCUUGAAUCCGGGAGAGGGAUGCAGAAUUCCAGGUGUAGCGGUGAAAUGCGUAGAUAUCUGGAGGAACACCAGAAGCGAAGGCGGCCAACUGGCCCGAUACUGACGCUGAGGCGCGAAAGCGUGGGGAGCAAACAGG